AACAAGUUGAGGCUAGGUACUGGUGAUUGCCUUAGUGUGCUAGAGUCCUUGAAGAAUAAUGACUAACUGUACUCACUGGCUGUGGGCUUCGUGACACCGUGACACUGUCUGUCACUAUGUUAGUGACAUGC
rnacentral:snoRNA from 1 species